UUGAGGUUUUAUACAUAAUUGCCAAAAAAAAAUGGAAAAAUUAUACUCAAAAAGGGAUUAAUGAUAUGAUACGUGACUCCGGAGCGAUAUACCAUUCCUUUUAUUUAUUAGCACUCUUGUAUCUGGCGAUUUCUUGACCUAUCCUUUAGCAGGAGUGCUGCUGAUUGACGAAUUGCUUAAACUAGUGGAGAGGCCAUCCUUCAGUUAUCGAGGUUUUUCUCUAUUUUGAAGCAUUUUUUCAACUUCUUUGCCCAUUGAAGAUUUAUUCAAAGAGUGAGGCAUCAGGAGGUACUCGAAUUUGCACCCAUGUUUUUUGAAGAUAUAAAGCGUAGGAUGGUAAAAUUUAUGGUGAUAAAACAACUGAAGGAGUAGCCUGGAGUUAAAUGUUUCAUUAGCCACCGAAUUUUGCACUUUGUCACGACUUACUCACCCAACUUCAAGAAUCCGCUUAGUGGCCACCGAACUUAGGUCCAUUGCUUCCCAUCAUCCAUUGGAUGAAUUUCGUCUUUGGCUCCAUGUACGUGGUAGACGGUAAAUCUGAGUGGAUCAUUAGAUGCUCAAGUGGAUCCUCCACAUCAACCAAACAUGCCUCAGCUUCAACUCCACCAUCCCCCGUCGUCCUCCUCACCAAACCCACCAAAAAGCUGCUCCAACCACCACCAGCUCCAAUUUCCCCCACCUCUUCCCAAGUCCUCAAAAAUUGUUAGUAUGCAAAUAACAAUCAGAACAAGAUUUAUAUGAGAUUAUAAAAGUAUGCAAUUUAUUGAGCAUCAAGUUCAAUUAUUUAUACAGCAACUGAAUAACUAAUUUGCAGAAUAAUAUGCUACAUAAAAGCAUAAAAAUUUAUUUCCAAUAAAAUAGCAUAAAGAAAAGGCCAUAGUC
rnacentral:lncRNA from 1 species